rfam:Sus scrofa chromosome 7.
ACAAAGGCUCUUUCUAGUAGGUGAUUCCAGAGCCACAGAAUAUGAAGAGCCAGUUGGAAU